AUUGAACGCUGGCGGCAGGCUUAACACAUGCAAGUCGAGCGAGCGGCGGACGGGUGAGUAAUGUCUGGGAAACUGCCUGAUGGAGGGGGAUAACUACUGGAAACGGUAGCUAAUACCGCAUACCAUCAGAUGUGCCCAGAUGGGAUUAGCUAGUAGGUGGGGUAAUGGCUCACCUAGGCGACGAUCCCUAGCUGGUCUGAGAGGAUGACCGGCAACACUGGAACUGAGACACGGUCCAGACGCGUAAGGGAGGCAGAAGUGGGGAAGAUUGCAAAAGGGGGGAAAGCCUGAGGGAGCCAUGCCGCGUGAGUGAAGAAGGCCUGCGGGUUGUAAAGCACUUUCAGCGGGGAGGCGGUACUCGAAGAAGAAGCACCGGCUAACUCCGUGCCAGCAGCCGCGGUAAUUC
rnacentral:rRNA from 1 species